rnacentral:rRNA from 1 species
CAACAGGGAUUGCCCCAGUAACGGCGAGUGAAGCGGCAGCAGCUCAGAUUUGAAAUCUGGCCCCCCGGCGGGGGGCCCGAGUUGUGGUCUGCAGAGGAUGCCCUGGGCGCGGCGCCUUCCGAGUUCCCUGGAACGGGACGCCACAGAGGGUGAGAGCCCCGUCCGGUCGGACGCCAGGCCCGUGUAGGGCUCCUUCGACGAGUCGAGUAGUUUGGGAAUGCUGCUCAAAGUGGGAGGUAUAUGUCUUCUAAAGCUAAAUACCGGCCAGAGACCGAUAGCGCACAAGUAGAGUGAUCGAAAGAUGAAAAGCACUUUGGAAAGAGGGUUAAAGAGCACGUGAAAUUGCUGAAAGGGAAGCGCCCGCGACCAGACUUGGGCCCGGCAGGUCACCCAGGCUCUCGGGCCAGGGGCACUCUGCCGGGCGCAGGCCAGCAUCGGCUCGGCGCGGGGGACAAAGGCGGCGGGAACGUGGCUCCCCAGGGAGUGCUUAUAGCCCGCCGCGCCAUGCCCCGUGCCGGGCCGAGGCACGCGCACCGCAAGGAUGCUGGCGUAAUGGUCGCCGGCGACCCGUCUUGAAACACGGACCAAGGAGUCGUCCUCGUAUGCGAGUGUUGGGGUGCCAAACCCCUACGCGCAGUGAAAGCGAACGCAGGUGAGAGCCGAAGCCUCGGCGCAUCAUCGACCGAUCCUGAUGUUCUCGGAUGGAUUUGAGUAGGAGCAUACGGGGCCGGACCCGAAAGAAGGUGAACUAUGCCUGUGUAGGGUGAAGCCAGAGGAAACUCUGGUGGAGGCUCGCAGCGGUUCUGACGUGCGAAUCGAUCGUCAAACAUGGGCAUGGGGGCGAAAGACUAAUCG